rnacentral:lncRNA from 1 species
GAAUACAGUUAUUCCAGAUUAACUAAGUGAAUGCAAGCUAGUCCAGAACAGAUCUAAAUAUGAUACAGUCAAAGCAGGAGAAAAAAAUGUAAUUGUUGAUGGGUUUGGUGGCAAAUAAGAAAAGUUUUCUGAUAUGACCUAUUUUCUCAAUGAAAUAAAAAAUCAAGGUUGUCAGUUCAAGGGGAAAGACUGGGGAGAGUGCUAAAGAUGGGAAGGAAGAAGAGAAAGUUGUAAAAGAGACUAAGCUGUGGAGAAUAUGCAUUAGAAUUCAGUUAUGAAAUGAGGCUACACAGACAUAUGAUGUGAGAUUGAUAAGCAAGCGUGUGAUUUUCAGGAACAGUGUCAGCAGAGAAUCAUAGGGAAUUGGCAUGGAGGCACCAAAAGGUAGGGAAGGGGAUUCACACGAUGAGAGAAGAGUGAGCUUGUGAUCGAGCUCACAGUAUCUAUUGUUACAUUUCUGUUACUGCAGUAAGACACAUGACAAAGCAAUUUAUAGGAGAAAGAGUUUAUUGAGGAAAUACAGUUUCAGAGAGUAAGUCUACAUCCGUCAGGGUCGGGAGAUGGUGGCAGGCAGGCAGGCAGAUGCUGGGCACUAGGCAGAGAGAACUAACUUAGGAAUCACUUGGUCUUUUGAAACCUUAAAGUCUCAAGUGGUACGACUCCUCCAACAAGGUCAGACCUUUCAAUUCUUCCCAAACAGAUGCACAAACUGGAGACUAAGUGUUCAACUGUGUGAGCCUAUGGGACUGAUUCUCAUUGGAACCAGCCAUGCAAUAAGAAGACUGUUAUUAAGGGGUGGGGCACUUUGGGAACUGUUUCACCACAAAGCAGGGAUGCGGUGAUAAGCGUUAGGCAGUGAAUAAGUUAGGAAUCCAAAGUGCAGAGUAUUAGCUUCCUUCUUGUUUUGAGAAACUGAUGUUGAAACUAAUAAAGACAGUAAAUAGGCACAAAAUUAGCCAAAAUGUGAUGGGCUGAGCAGGAUAGCAGUAUAUGACAAUAUUUAAAAGUAGCUAAUGGUUCCAUCUUGAAGCAUGUGCUUACAAUAAAGCAUGGUUUGGAGGAACAAGGUGGAAGGAAAUGCGAUCUAGAAGCAAUAAUCAAGAGCAAGAAGAAAAUAUAAACCAUUGGUUUAUAUGUUAAUCCAAAUGAACAUUUAUUAGUUUCCCAGCUAUAGUUGAAGCCCUGCCCAGGUUAGUGGCAACAAUUUGUCAGCAAACCUCCAGAUACAGGGAGGUGUAAUCUGUGUUACUAUUCCAAGAACAAAUGUAGCACACACAAACACACACAUACACACACACACACACACACACACACACACACAUGCAGGUGCACAUGCACAUGGGAAUAUACACCACAAUAUGUAUAUGAACAUUCCAAAAUAACAUGUAUCUCAAUUUACAUGCUUGUUACUCAUUAUAAGCUGUAAAUCAGGGAGAGAGUUACAGGCUUUAUUAGGAAAGGGAAUGGAUAUCCCCCAGGGAGCAUCAGCUUAAAAGAGAAGAUAAAUAGGACAUUGAAGAGUUUGGAGACAGAGAACAUUUUGCUGAUGAGAGGCACUGAAUUACAAGGCUUACAGACUAAAAAGGCGAUCAGAGGUAAAUGAGAGGUGAAGUCCAACUGGUGAAUGUAUGGAUAAUAUCUAGAAUACAGUGGCUGGCACUUUUGUGGUGACCCAGAUAAACAAGGCCUUUAGCUUGAUGGGAUUAAUCCGAAUACUCUCUUUCCAUAUGGGAACCAAGAGUUUAGUUUCUGAUGGUAAAUAAAUUAAGAUAAUGAAAACCAUGGUAAUGCAGAUAAUGAAGAGGUGAAUUAUUGUUAAGUAUGUCAGAUGUCACUGAACACUAUAUUCUAAGUCUAGAAGUGACUUACUAGGAAAUGAAAGCAGGAAUUAAGUGUGGAUGCACAUAUAAAUACCCCAAAUUUCUUAAAUUAAAAAAAAAAACCUGUUCAAGAGAUUUAUAUUAAGCACAUAGGCAGUGUGUUUUGGCUACAGACAUAAUUUAUUAGGACUGUUUUCAUAUUCUCUUGAUGCAUUAAUUCAUAUAUGUAAAAUAGUAAACUUCCAUUUAUUUUGGAAACAUUGGCAAUAUGAGUUUUUUUAAAUGUAUAUUUAGUUUGUCAUAUAACUAGAAAGCAACAAAGAAAUAAAUUAUAGGUCACCUUUAAGUCUGAACUAAUUAGGUGUUGUUAUAAACUUGUCAGCUAUCUGGGAAAAGUAAACUGAGAGAAGAAUUUUAAAUAUCCACUUUUUUUCUUAUGGUAUUUAUGGCUUUAAUAUAAGGGUUCUAUAUUAAAAUGUUUUAUAUUUAAAAAUACAUACUUAGUAGAUGCGAGAGGAUUCCAUUGGUGAACUUCUGCUGUGCAAACUUCACAUCCCUAGCACACAUAGAAGCCUAGUGC